UAACCGCAAUCGAGAGGUUGCGCUUAACCCGCAGGAGUCAGCAGAGGUCAUAGUGCGUGCGUGGC
rfam:Paenibacillus sp. 11 genome assembly, contig: Ga0139009_105